UCCGGUUGAUCCCGCCGGACCCCACUGCUAUCGGGAUAGGACUAAGACAUGCUAGUCGAGCGCUUCCAGCCAAAACGGGAGCGCGGCACACAGCUCAGUAACACGUGGCUAACCUGCCCUUGGGAUCGGAACACCCCCGGGAAACUGGGGCUAAUUCUCAAUAGGCGAAGAACUCUGGAAUGAGUCUUCACCAAAAAGAAACCUAAGUUAUGCUCUUAGGUCUCGCCCAAGGAUGGGGCCGCGACCGAUCAGGUUGUUGGUGAGGUAAUGGCUCACCAAGCCUUUUACCGGUGCGGGCCGUGGGAGCGGGAGCCCGGAGAUGGGCACUGAGACAAGGGCCCAGGCCCUACGGGGCGCAGCAGUCGCGAAAACUUUGCAAUAAGCGAAAGCUUGACAGGGCUAUCCCGAGUGCCAUCCGCUGAGGAAGGCUUUUACCCAGUCUAGAACGCUGGGGGAAUAAGGAGAGGGCAAGUCUGGUGUCGGCCGCCGCGGUAAUACCAGCUCUCCGAGUGGUGUGGAUGUUUAUUGGGCCUAAAGCAUCCGUAGCUGGCUAAGUGAGUCCCCUGUUAAAUCCACCGAAUUAAUCGUUGGAUUGCGGGGGAUACUGCUUGGCUAGGGGACGAGAGAGGCAGACGGUAUUUUCGGGGUAGGGGUGAAAUCCUAUAAUCCCGGGAAGACCCACCAGUGGCGAAGGCUGUCUGCUAGAACGCCGCCCGACGGUGGAGGGGAUGAAAGCUGGGGGGAGCCGAACCGGGAUUAGAAUACCCGGGUAGUCCCAGCUGUAAACGAUGCAAGGCUAAGUGGUUUGGGACGGGCCACGUGCCGGUCUAGUGGCCGCAAGGGAAGCUGUUAAGCCUGCCGCCUGGGGAGUACGAUCGCAGAUUGAACUUAAGGAAUUGGCGGGG
rnacentral:rRNA from 1 species